UACGUAGGUGGCAAGCGUUGUCCGGAAUUAUUGGGCGUAAAGCGCUCGCAGGCGGUCUUUUAAGUCUGACGUGAAAUCUCGUGGCUUAACCACGAACGGUCAUUGGAAACUGGAGGACUUGAGUACAGAAGAGGAGAGUGGAAUUCCACGUGUAGCGGUGAAAUGCGUAGAGAUGUGGAGGAACACCAGUGGCGAAGGCGACUCUCUGGUCUGUAACUGACGCUGAGGAGCGAAAGCGUGGGGAGCGAACAGG
rnacentral:rRNA from 1 species